rnacentral:rRNA from 1 species
GACGAACGCUGGCGACGCGCUUAACACAUGCAAGUCGAACGGAAAGGCCUGCUUUCCCUUGUGGAUUGCGGGUACUCGAGUGGCGAACGGGUGAGUAACACGUGAGUGAUCUGCCCCCAACUUGGGUAUAAGCCUGGGAAACUGGGUCUAAUUCCCGAUAGGACUGCAGGGUGGUGCCUGUGGUGGAAAACGAUUUUCUAGUGGUUGGGGAUGAGCUCGCGGCCUAUCAGCUUGUUGGUGGGGUAAUGGCCUACCAAGGCGGCGACGGGUAGCCGGCCUGAGAGGGUGGACGGCCACAUUGGGACUGGGAUACGGCCCAGACUCCUACGGGAGGCAGCAGUGGGGAAUAUUGCACAAUGGGCGGAAGCCUGAUGCAGCGACGCCGCGUGGGGGAUGACGGCCUUCGGGUUGUUAACUCCUUUCGACCGCGAGGAAGCCACCUGGUUGGAAGGGUGGUGACGGUAGUGGUAGAAGAAGCACCGGCUAACUACGUG